rnacentral:rRNA from 1 species
GCCUAACACAUGCAAGUCGAGCGGUAGAGAGAAGCUUGCUUCUCUUGAGAGCGGCGGACGGGUGAGUAAUACCUAGGAAUCUGCCUGAUAGUGGGGGAUAACGUUCGGAAACGGACGCUAAUACCGCAUACGUCCUACGGCAGAAAGCAGGGGACCUUCGGGCCUUGCGCUAUCAGAUGAGCCUAGGUCGGAUUAGCUAGUUGGUGAGGUAAUGGCUCACCAAGGCUACGAUCCGUAACUGGUCUGAGAGGAUGAUCAGUCACACUGGAACUGAGACACGGUCCAGACUCCUACGGGAGGCAGCAGUGGGGAAUAUUGGACAAUGGGCGAAAGCCUGAUCCAGCCAUGCCGCGUGUGUGAAGAAGGUCUUCGGAUUGUAAAGCACUUUAAGUUGGGAGGAAGGGCAGUUACCUAAUACGUGAUUGUCUUGACGUUACCGACAGAAUAAGCACCGGCUAACUCUGUGCCAGCAGCCGCGGUAAUACAGAGGGUGCAAGCGUUAAUCGGAAUUACUGGGCGUAAAGCGCGCGUAGGUGGUUUGUUAAGUUGAAUGUGAAAUCCCCGGGCUCAACCUGGGAACUGCAUCCAAAACUGGCAAGCUAGAGUAUGGUAGAGGGUAGUGGAAUUUCCUGUGUAGCGGUGAAAUGCGUAGAUAUAGGAAGGAACACCAGUGGCGAAGGCGACUACCUGGACUGAUACUGACACUGAGGUGCGAAA